AGGACGAACGCUGGCGGCGUGCUUAACACAUGCAAGUCGAGCGGUAAGGCCUUUCGGGGUACACGAGCGGCGAACGGGUGAGUAACACGUGGGUGAUCUGCCCUGCACUCUGGGAUAAGCUUGGGAAACUGGGUCUAAUACCGGAUAUGACCACAGUGCGCAUGUGUUGUGGUGGAAAGAUUUAUCGGUGCAGGAUGGGCCCGCGGCCUAUCAGCUUGUUGGUGGGGUAAUGGCCUACCAAGGCGACGACGGGUAGCCGACCUGAGAGGGUGACCGGCCA
rnacentral:rRNA from 1 species